rnacentral:lncRNA from 1 species
CGCAUGUGUAAACUAUUCAUGUAAGCAUAGUAAGGGUUGCAUUUGAUGAUCAUUUGUAAUUUUAAUGGUUUUUUUUCAUUUAGUCUACAACCCCCUGGUCUGGACACUUUGACAGCAAUUCUAAAUAGUCUUUUGACAGGAGCUAAUGUGGCAGAUAUUGCUUUAUUAGAACAUGGAAGUAAUAUACUUCCAUGAUAAAAAAAUGUGUUGAUAGAUGGAAUUUGUUCCUAUUACCUUGCCGAUACAUUAAGGGGUAUUUUGACAUCUCAGAAAUGAAGUCAUUUAAAUUAAACAUAAUAUAAAUUAAGAAAUUAUAAAUAAAUC